AAGAUACUCCCUCCGAUCCAUAUUAGUUGUCGGAAUAUUACAUGUAUCUAGACGCUUUUUAGGCAUAGAUACAUUCAUAUUUAGGUCAAUUUGAGACAAUUAAUAUGGAUCGGAGAGAGUAUAUG
rfam:Brachypodium distachyon strain Bd21 chromosome 1, whole genome shotgun sequence.